rnacentral:rRNA from 1 species
AUUGAACGCUGGCGGCAUGCUUUACACAUGCAAGUCGAACGGCAGCAUGGGUGCUUGCACCUGAUGGCGAGUGGCGAACGGGUGAGUAAUGUAUCGGAACAUGUCCGGAAGUGGGGGAUAACGUAGCGAAAGUUACGCUAAUACCGCAUAUGCCCUGAGGGGGAAAGGUGGGGAUCGCAAGACCUAUCGCUUUCGGAGUGGGCGAUAUCAGAUUAGCUUGUUGGUGAGGUAAAGGCUCACCAAGGCGACGAUCUGUAGCUGGUCUGAGAGGACGACCAGCCACACUGGGACUGAGACACGGCCCAGACUCCUACGGGAGGCAGCAGUGGGGAAUUUUGGACAAUGGGGGCAACCCUGAUCCAGCCAUGCCGCGUGAGUGAAGAAGGCCUUCGGGUUGUAAAGCUCUUUCAGAUGGAAAGAAAUCGCUAUUCCUAAUACGAGUGGUGGAUGACGGUACCGUCAGAAGAAGCACCGGCUAACUACGUGCCAGCAGCCGCAGUAAGAC